UACGUAGGAGGCGAGCGUUGUCCGGAAUCAUUGGGCGUAAAGAGCGCGUAGGCGGCCAGAUAAGUCCGGUGUGAAAGUCAAAGGCUCAACCUUUGAAUGCCGCUGGAAACUGUCUGGCUAGAGUCCGGGAGGGGCGAGUGGAAUUCCUGGUGUAGCAGUGAAAUGCGUAGAUAUCAGGAGGAACACCGAUGGCGAAGGCAGGUCUCUGGGCUGACACUGACGCUCAUGCACGAAAGCGUGGGGAGCAAACAGG
rnacentral:rRNA from 1 species